rnacentral:lncRNA from 1 species
CCCAGGCCCUGGCGAAUGCUACCAGUGGUUCCUGCAGCCUCCAGGAGGAUGUGGCCCAGCUCCACAAGGCACUGGCAGCUGCCGAACGCGACCGGCGGCUGCUUCAGGAGCAUCUGGACUCUGCCCGCCAGGCUCUGUGUGACAGCAAGAGACACAGCCAUAGCCUGGCAGAAAGAGGGAAGCGCCUGGAGAGCCAGCUGGCCCAGCUGGAGAUGAGGUGCCAGGACCUGGAAGGGCAGCUGGAGCAUCUGCAGGAGAUUGUGCACAGACAGCGACAAAGCAAGGAGGAGGCCAUAGCCUCGGCCCAGAAGUUCCAGAGGGAGAAUCACGCCCUGAAAGAGAAAAUCUCCACUUUGCAGAGAGCUCUGAGUCGCCUGGAGAGAGAGCACAAGGAGAUGGAGCGGUCUGCUGUGCGGCUGGAGAAGCACAACUAUGCUCUGAAGAGAACCCUCCAUAAGGUCUCAAGGAAAGCAGAGACUGGAAGAAGCCUAUGAGACAAGAUCUAGGUCAGAGCCCACGUAAUUAAGUGGCCCAGGCUGCCAAGGAGCAUAGGACGGAGCCAGGGCAGGGUGGCCAUUCAGGGCCAACGGGACUUCAGCAGCUGUUAUCUCGUGGGACUGAAGUUUACAGGCUCCUCAAAAAGGAGGUGUUGUCCCCAAUAUACAAAUGAGGAAACCGAGGUUCAGAGAAGCCAGAUUUUCUGGCUCCUGAUCUGUCCUUUCUCUUUAGAGGAAAAGAUGUCACAGAAUCGGAUUGUAGAAAGAGCGCUGGGCUUGGAGUCAGGAAGACCCGAGUUCCAAUUCUGCCUGAUCCCUCCAGCCAUAUGGCCCUGAGUUUUCUCAGCUAUCAAGUGGAGACAAUAAUACCUGUAGCACCUACCUCACAGGGUUGUUGUGAGGCUCACCUGAGAUACUGUCUGUCAAAUGUGCCAUAAAAUCCAUCUUUGCAAUCCGGCAUUCCGUGAAGAUGUCCUACUUCAGCGCCUUCCUGUGAGGGAGGCUUCUGAAGGAGGCCAAGGCGGGUGUU